rnacentral:rRNA from 1 species
AACGCGAAGAACCUUACCCAGGUUAGAAGUACAGAGGGAUGUGCCAGAGAUGGUACAGUCCGCAAGGACCUCUGUAUAGGUGCUGCAUGGCUGUCGUCAGCUCGUGCCGUGAGGUGUUGGGUUAAGUCCCGCAACGAGCGCAACCCUUAUCAUUAGUUGCCAACACGUUAAGGUGGGGACUCUAAUGAGACUGCCUAGGUUAACUAGGAGGAAGGUGAGGAUGACGUCAAGUCCGCAUGGCCUUUAUGUCUGGGGCUACACACGUGCUACAAUGGUCGGUACAGAAGGCAGCGAAAUCGCAAGAUGGAGCAAAUCCCCAAAGCCGAUCUCAGUUCAGAUUGUGGUCUGCAACUCGACCACAUGAAGCUGGAAUUGCUAGUAAUGACGUGUCAGCAACAACGUCGUGAAUACGUUCCCGGGCCUUGUA